GACGAUAAGUAAAAUGGUACUUAUUAAGGGCUGAGUGGAGCCGUUAGC
rnacentral:sRNA from 1 species